UUAAGGUAUCUCCAUAUUGCUUGCGCCCGAUCUCGUCUGAUCUCGGAAGCUAAGCAGGGUCGGGCCUGGUUAGUACUUGGAUGGGAGAUUUCUAGAAUUUUUUUAAC
rnacentral:rRNA from 1 species